CCGGAGUUAGCUCAGUGGUAGAGCGCUUGCCUAGCAAGCUCAAGGCCCUGGGUUCGGUCCCCAGCUCCGAA
rnacentral:tRNA from 1 species